UCUAUGUCCUCUGGUCCUCAAUUCCCCUACUCUGGGCAAGAGACUCUGUGCAUCUACCCGACCUAUUCCUUUCAUGAUUUUAUACCCCUCUAUAAGAUCACCCCUCAUCCUCCUGAGCCACAAGGAAUAGGGUCCCAGCCUACUCGACGUCUGCCUGUAGAUCAGACCCUCUAUUCCUGGCAAAAUGAGUAGGCCAUUCGG